AUUGAACGCUGGCGGCAGGCCUAAUACAUGCAAGUCGAACGGUAACAUAAAAGAAGCUUGCUUCUUUUGAUGACGAGUGGCGGACGGGUGAGUAAUAUUUGGGAAACUACCUGAUAGAGGGGGACAACAGUUGGAAACGACUGCUAAUACCGCAUAAAGCCUAAGGGUGAAAGCAGCAAUGCGCUAUCAGAUGUGCCCAAACGGGAUUAGCUAGUAGGUGAGGUAAAGGCUCACCUAGGCGACGAUCAGUAGCCGGUCUGAGAGGAUGAACGGCCACAUUGGAACUGAGACACGGUCCAGACUCCUACGGGAGGCAGCAGUGGGGAAUCUUCCGCAAUGGGCGCAAGCCUGACGGAGCAACGCCGCGUGAAGGAAGAAGGCUUUCGGGUUGUAAAGCACUUUCGGAGGGGAGGAAGAAAAUGACGUUACCCUCAGAAGAAGCACCGGCUAACUCCGUG
rnacentral:rRNA from 1 species